CGUUCAUCGAAGUUAAGCAACGUCGAGGCUGUCUAGUACCCAGAUGGGUGACCGCUUGGGAAUACCAGGUGUUGUAAG